UACGUAGGGUGCAAGCGUUGUCCGGAAUUAUUGGGCGUAAAGAGCUCGUAGGCGGUUUGUCGCGGCGGCUGUGAAAACCCGGGGCUCAACCCCGGGCCUGCAGUCGAUACGGGCAAACUAGAGUGCGGUAGGGGAGACUGGAAUUCCUGGUGUAGCGGUGAAAUGCGCAGAUAUCAGGAGGAACACCGGUGGCGAAGGCGGCUCUCUAGUACGGUACUGACGCUGAGACGCGAAAGCGUGGGGAGCGAACAGG
rnacentral:rRNA from 1 species